rnacentral:rRNA from 1 species
UUGUUUGNCAGCGAGUAAUGUCGGGAACUCCAGGGAGNCUGCCGGUGAUAAACCGGAGGAAGGUGGGGACGACGUCAAGUCAUCAUGGCCCUUACGAGUAGGGCUACACACGUGCUACAAUGGCGCAUACAGAGGGCAGCAAGCUAGCGAUAGUGAGCGAAUCCCAAAAAGUGCGUCGUAGUCCGGAUUGGAGUCUGCAACUCGACUCCAUGAAGUCGGAAUCGCUAGUAAUCGUGGAUCAGAAUGCCACGGUGAAUACGUUCCCGGGCCUUGUACACACCGNNCGUCNCACCAUGGGAGUGGGCUGCAAAAGAAGUAGGUAGUUAACCUCGGAGGACGC